rnacentral:rRNA from 1 species
GAUGAACGCUGGCGGCGUGCCUAAUACAUGCAAGUCGAGCGAACGGACGAGAAGUUCGCUUCUCUGAUGUUAGCGACGGACGGGUGAGUAACACGUGGUUAACCUACCUAUAAGACUGGGGUAACUUCGGGUAACCGUAGCUAAUACCGGGAAAUAUUUUGAACCGCAUGGUUCAAAAGUGAUAGAGGGUUUUGAUGAGAUCUAUACAUAGCACCGUGGUGCAUUAGCAAGUUGGUAAGGUAACGGCUUACCAAGGCAACGAUGCAUAGCCGACCUGGGAAGGUGAUGCGCGACCGUGGGACUGAGACGCGGUCCUGACUCCGACGGGAGGCAGCGGUACGGAAGCGUCGGCGAUGGGCGGAAGCCUGAAGGAGGAGCGCCGCCUGGGUGAAGAGGGUCUUCGGAUGGGAUAACGCUGUUAUUGUGGAAGAACAUAUGUGUAAGUAACUGUGCACAUCGUGACGGUACCUAAACAGAAAGCCACGGCUAACUACGUG